GACCUCAAAUCAGGUAGGAUUACCCGCUGAACUU
rnacentral:rRNA from 1 species